rnacentral:RNase_P_RNA from 5 species
GAAGUGAGACAAGAUAGCCGCUGCCCCGAUGUUAUGUCGGGGUGGAGGAAAGUCCGGACUCCACAGGGCAGGGAGGUCGCUAACAGCGACCGCCCCGAUAUCAUAUCGGGGUAGGGAUAAGGGCCACAGAAAACAAACCGCCCCGAUGUUACGUUACAUAGGGGUAAGGGUGAAACGGUGGGGUAAGAGCCCACCAGCUCUGAUGGUGACAUCAGAGGCUAGGUAACCCCCUCCCGGAGCAAGACCAAAUAGGAAGACAUUUAAGGACGGCCCGUCCGUGUCUUCGGGUUGGUUGCUUGAGGUGCUGAGUAAUCAGCAUCCCAGAUGAAUGGCUAUCGCCCCAUCGGGAGACAGAAUCCGGCUUACAAUCUCACUUCAGCG